ensembl:lncRNA
CUGGGAGAACUGGGGGGCACUGGGAGGGGGGGGGGCGGCACCGCGGGGACAGCGGCGCUGUGUGACACAGCAAAGGGGGGGACGCGGAGCUGAAAGGCGCUGAGCCAUGGCUGAGCCGUGCCCGGUUGACGUCGGUCCUCCCAGCGAUGGCGGCGAUGCCGUCGGAGGUCCCGGUGGCGCCGUGGGUGGUCCCGGUGACGCCGUGGGUGGUCCCGGUGGAGCCGUGGGUGGUCCCGGUGGCGCCGUGGGUGGUCCCGGUGGAGCCGUGGGUGGUCCCGGUGGAGCCGUGGGGGACACUCUGCCGUGGAGAAGGGGGAAACGCCACCCGCGGGCGCAGCGCGGCGCCGCCAUCAGCGGCAAUGGGAGCGUCCCCGACCCCGCCGAGAGGGCCGUCAUACGCAUCGCAGGUACUAUGGGGGGGGGAUGGGGGGG